rnacentral:rRNA from 1 species
GACGUAGGGCGCGAGCGUUUGUCCGGAUUUAUUGGGCGUAAAGAGCUCGUAGGCGGCUUGUCGCGUCGACUGUGAAAACCCGCGGCUCAACUGCGGGCCUGCAGCCGAUACGGGCAGGCUAGAGUUCGGUAGGGGAGACUGGAAUUCCUGGUGUAGCGGUGAAAUGCGCAGAUAUCAGGAGGAACACCGGUGGCGAAGGCGGGUCUCUGGGCCGAUACUGACGCUGGAGGAGCG